rnacentral:rRNA from 1 species
GAUGAACGCUGACAGAAUGCUUAACACAUGCAAGUCGAUUCAAGUUACCUUCGGGUAAUGAGGAUGGCGGACGGGUGAGUAACGCGUAAGGAACUUGCCUCUUGGUCUGGGACAACUGUUGGAAACGACAGCUAAUACCGGAUAUUAUGAGAUUCUCGCAUGGGGAAUUUAUGAAAGCUAUAUGCGCCAAGAGAGAGCCUUGCGUUCCAUUAGCUAGUUGGUGGGGUAACGGCCCACCAAGGCGACGAUGGAUAGCCGGCCUGAGAGGGUGAACGGCCACAAGGGGACUGAGACACGGCCCUUACUCCUACGGGAGGCAGCAGUGGGGAAUAUUGGACAAUGGGCCACAAGCCUGAUCCAGCAAUUCUGUGUGCACGAUGAAGGUCUUCGGAUUGUAAAGUGCUUUCAGUUGGGAAGAAGAAAGUGACGGUACCAACAGAAGAAGCGACGGCUAAAUACGUGCCAGCAGCCGCGGUAAUACGUAUGUCGCAAGCGUUAUCCGGAUUUAUUGGGCGUAAAGCGCGUCUAGGCGGAAAAAUAAGUCUGAUGUUAAAAUGCGGGGCUCAACUCCGUAUUGCGCUGGAAACUGUUUUUCUAGAGUACUGGAGAGGUGGGCGGAACUACNAGUGUAGAGGUGAAAUUCGUAGAUAUUUGUAGGAAUGCCNAUGGAGAAGUCAGCUCACUGGACAGAUACUGACGCUAAAGCGCGAAAGCGUGGGGNGCAAACAGGAUUAGAUACCCUGG